rnacentral:rRNA from 1 species
CUCGUAGGUGGCCAACUAAGUCAGACGUGAAAUCCCUCAGCUUAACUGGGGAACUGCGUGUGAUACUGGAUGGCUUGGAUUUGGGAGAGGGAUGCGGAAUUCCAGGUAUAGCGGUGAAAUGCGUAGAUAUCUGGAGGAACACCGGUGGCGAAGGCGGCAUCCUGGACCAAUAUUGACGCUGAGGAGCGAAAGCAUGGGAGCAAACA